UGUUAAAAGUUUUAUUCAUUUGUAACGUUUAAAACCUGCAUGAUUGACAAACCAAUCAAACAGUGACAUGAAUCCUGUUACGUGUACCUCAUGCUAACAUACAAUAACCCGUUUUUAGCCGUAGAAAUAGAUGAAAUUUUUAAUA
rfam:Gossypium raimondii Chr11_contig_31, whole genome shotgun sequence.